UACAGACGGUCCAAACGUUAUUCGGAAUCACUGGGCUUAAAGAGUUCGUAGGCGGUCAGGAAAGUGGGGUGUGAAAGCCCUCGGCUUAACCGAGGAAUUGCGCUCCAAACUCCCUGACUUGAGGAGGCUAGAGGUAAGCGGAACUGAUGGUGGAGCGGUGAAAUGCGUUGAUAUCAUCAGGAACACCGGAGGCGAAGGCGGCUUACUGGGGCCUUUCUGACGCUGAGGAACGAAAGCUAGGGGAGCGAACGG
rnacentral:rRNA from 1 species